UGGGGAAUAUUGCACAAUGGAGGAAACUCUGAUGCAGCGACGCCGCGUGAGUGAAGAAGGUCUUCGGAUCGUAAAACUCUGUCCUUGGUGACGAAAAAAAUGACGGUAGCCAAGGAGGAAGCCCCGGCUAACUACGUGCCAGCAGCCGCGGUCAUACGUAGGGGGCGAGCGUUGUCCGGAUUUACUGGGCGUAAAGGGCGAGUAGGCGGUAAUAUGUGUCAGAUGUAAAAGGCUAUGGCUUAACCAUAGUUGGCAUUUGAAACUGUAUUACUUGAGUGCAGGAGAGGUAAGUGGAAUUCCUAGUGUAGCGGUGAAAUGCGUAGAUAUUAGGAGGAACACCAGUGGCGAAGGCGACUUACUGGACUGUAACUGACGCUGAGUCACGAAAGCGUGGGUAGCAAACA
rnacentral:rRNA from 1 species